rnacentral:ncRNA from 2 species
CAAAACAUGGAAUGCUAGGAACUUUAAUCUGUAACUGGUCACUUGGGUUAAAGGGAGCUAAUAGUGAAACCGAUCCGCACUUAU